rnacentral:rRNA from 1 species
AUUGAACGCUGGCGGAAUGCUUUACACAUGCAAGUCGAACGGCAGCACGGACUUCGGUCUGGUGGCGAGUGGCGAACGGGUGAGUAAUGUAUCGGAACGUGCCCAGUCGUGGGGGAUAACGUAGUGAAAAUUACGCUAAUACCGCAUACGAUCUAUGGAUGAAAGCGGGGGAUCGCAAGACCUCGCGCGAUUGGGGCGGCCGAUAUCAGAUGAGGUAGUUGGUGGGGUAAAGGCCCACCAAGCCAACGAUCUGUAGCUGGUCUGGGAGGACGACCAGCCACACUGGAACUGAGACACGGUCCAGACUCCUACGGGAGGCAGCAGUGGGGAAUUUUGGACAAUGGGCGAAAGCCUGAUCCAGCCAUUCCGCGUGCAGGAUGAAGGCCCUCGGGUUGUAAACUGCUUUUGUACAGAACGAAAAGGUUUCUACUAAUACUAGGAGCUCAUGACGGUACUGUAAGAAUAAGCACCGGCUAACUACGUGCCAGCCGCCGCAGUAA